rnacentral:rRNA from 1 species
AGCAGUCAGGCGGCGAGUGAUAAAAUCCGUCGUCAAGAGGGAAACAACCCAGACUAACAGCUAAGGUCCCCAAAUCUUACUUAAGUGGAAAACGAUGUGAAGUUACUUAAACAACCAGGAGGUUGGCUUAGAAGCAGCCAUCCUUUAAAGAAAGCGUAAUAGCUCACUGGUCUAGUGAUUUUGCGCGGAAAAUAUAACGGGGCUAAAGUAAGUACCGAAGCUUUAGACUUGCACACAACUUAGAUGAUUUAAAUUUAAAAUAUGAGAAACUAAAUUUAUUUUUAUUUAUUUUUGCUUAUCUUUAUUCAUUUUUAUAGAGUAAAGAUAAAAACAAAAACUUCGUAAAAAUAAUAAAAUAUAGUAAAAAACAAUAAAAAUAUUCUUAGAUUAAAAGAGUUAAGUCGUUUAAGUUGUGUGCAAUGUGGUAGGAGAGCGUUCUAUUUGCGUCGAAGGUAUACCGACAAGGAGUGCUGGAGCGAAUAGAAGUGAGCAUGCAGGCAUGAGUAGCGAUAAUUAAUGUGAGAAUCAUUAACGCCGUAAACCCAAGGUUUCCUACGCGAUGCUCGUCAUCGUAGGGUUAGUCGGGUCCUAAGCUGAGUCCGAAAGGGGUAAGCGAUGGCAAAUAGGUUAAUAUUCCUAUACCAACAUUAGUGUGCGAUGGAAGGACGCUUAGGGCUAAGGGGGCUAGCGGAUGGAAGUGCUAGUCUAAGGUCGUAGGAGGUUAUACAGGCAAAUCCGUAUAACAAUACUCCGAGAACUGAAAGGCUUUUUGAAGUCUUCGGAUGGAAAGAAGAACCCCUGAUGCCGUCGAGCCAAGAAAAGUUUCUAAGUUUAGCUAAUGUUGCCCGUACCGUAAACCGACACAGGUGGGUGGGAUGAGUAUUCUAAGGCGCGUGGAAGAACUCUCUUUAAGGAACUCUGCAAAAUAGCACCGUAUCUUCGGUAUAAGGUGUGCCUCCCUUUGUAUUAGAAUUCACU